UUAUUUUUAUUAAUUUAUAUUUUCAUUCAACCAAUAAAUUAAUGUCACGUCAGUUUGUACAAAAUAAAUUUAUACAAGAGUGAAUUUGUGGCUGUAUCAUUACUCUUCAAAAUAUGUUGCUCUCUUUUGAAAAUUUGAAUUGACCAAGUUGUGGGUCACGUUCUCUUAGUCAAUGCACAACCGCUAAAUGCACUGUUAUUUCAGGAAAAAGAAAAUGAAAAAACAAUUAAUCAAUUAUUAGUGGUUGAAAUUUCGUAUCACUUGCCAAGUUGCCACGUGCUAAUGUGACCGCAUCGAUAAUGACAAUAUUAAGUUUACGUCAGUGCCCCCUUUGCUUUGACUGCAAAGGCAUUGACUUUGAUAAUUUUAAGCUCAUUUUAGGAUCCGUUUAUUAUCUGAUGGUAAUUUACACUGCACCACUUGUUGUUUGGUAUAAACAUCUUAUAUGAAUUGUACUUCAUAAAAGCCACCUUUCAAGUCCCAAGUGAUUUCGUUUUGCACUGACAACAAGUAUUAGGCUUAUAUUAUCUAAUUUAUCUAUAUUAUUUUUAAAAGGUCGAUGUGGGUAAACUCCUAAAUAAUUUUUUUAGUCCUAAAAUCUUCUUUAAGAUUCAAACAUCAAUGGCUAAAAAUUGAAAGGAAAAAAACUCAAAAACUAUUUGAUCAGACUCUUAAAAGUAUUAUUAA
rnacentral:lncRNA from 1 species